GCUUGGCCCUAAAUCUAGAUGUUCCCCCUACCAAAACAUCCGCCCGAGAACUACGAGCACAAACGCUUAAAACUCUAAGGACUUGGCGGUGCUCCAAACCCACCUAGAGGAGCCUGUUCUGUAAUCGAUAACCCACGAUGCACCCANNNNNNNNNNNNNNNNNNNNGCCUACAUACCGCCGUCCCCAGCUCACCUUCUCUGAGAGCCCAACAGUGAGCACAACAACACCCCGCUAACAAGACAGGUCAAGGUAUAGCCUAUGGAGAGGAAGAAAUGGGCUACAUUCUCUAAGAUAGAAAACUAACGAAAAGGGGCUUGAAAUAACCCCUAGAAGGAGGAUUUAGCAGUAAAGGGGGGUAAGAAUACCCCCUUAAACCCGGCCCUGGAGCACGUACAUACCGCCCGUCACCCUCUUCACAACUACUAAACGCCCGUAAUUUAACCCAAACCAAAAAAGUUAAAAGAUGAGGUAAGUCGUAACAAGGUAAGUGUACCGGAAGGUGCACUUAGCACCAAGGCGUAGCUAUAAUGCCA
rnacentral:rRNA from 1 species